UUAGAGUUUGAUUCUGCUCAGGAUGAACGCUAGCGGCAGGCUUAACACAUGCAAGUCGAGGGGCAGCGAGAUCAGUGCUUGCACUGAUUGUCGGCGACCGGCGCACGGGUGCGUAACGCGUAUGCAACCUACCCAUUACAGGGGGAUAACACUGAGAAAUCGGUACUAAUACCCCAUAACAUCCAGGGAGGCAUCUUCUUGGGUUGAAAACUCCGGUGGUAAUGGAUGGGCAUGCGUUGUAUUAGUUAGUUGGUGGGGUAACGGCUCACCAAGACAACGAUACAUAGGGGGACUGAGAGGUUAACCCCCCACAUUGGUACUGAGACACGGACCAAACUCCUACGGGAGGCAGCAGUGAGGAAUAUUGGUCAAUGGACGCAAGUCUGAACCAGCCAUGCCGCGUGCAGGAAGACGGCUCUAUGAGUUGUAAACUGCUUUUGUACGAGGGUAAACGCAGAUACGCGUAUCUGUCUGAAAGUAUCGUACGAAUAAGGAUCGGCUAACUCCGUGCCAGCAGCCGCGGUAAUACGGAGGAUUCAAGCGUUAUCCGGAUUUAUUGGGUUUAAAGGGUGCGUAGGCGGUCGGAUAAGUUAGAGGUGAAAUCCCGGGGCUCAACUUCGGAAUUGCCUCUGAUACUGUUCGGCUAGAGAGUAGUUGCGGUAGGCGGAAUGUAUGGUGUAGCGGUGAAAUGCUUAGAGAUCAUACAGAACACCGAUUGCGAAGGCAGCUUACCAAGCUACUUCUGACGUUGAGGCACGAAAGCGUGGGGAGCAAACAGGAUUAGAUACCCUGGUAGUCCACGCAGUAAACGAUGAUAACUCGUUGUCGGCGAUACAGUGUCGGUGACUAAGCGAAAGCGAUAAGUUAUCCACCUGGGGAGUACGUUCGCAAGAAUGAAACUCAAAGGAAUUGACGGGGGCCCGCACAAGCGGAGGAACAUGUGGUUUAAUUCGAUGAUACGCGAGGAACCUUACCCGGGCUUGAAAGUUAGUGACGGAUCUUGAAAGAGGUCUUCCCUUCGGGGCACGAAACUAGGUGCUGCAUGGUUGUCGUCAGCUCGUGCCGUGAGGUGUCGGGUUAAGUCCCAUAACGAGCGCAACCCCUACCGUUAGUUGCCAGCAGGUCAAGCUGGGCACUCUGACGGGACUGCCGGUGUAAGCCGAGAGGAAGGUGGGGAUGACGUCAAAUCAGCACGGCCCUUACGUCCGGGGCUACACACGUGUUACAAUGGCAGGUACAGAGGGCAGCUACCCAGCGAUGGGAUGCGAAUCUCGAAAGCCUGUCUCAGUUCGGAUUGGAGGCUGAAACCCGCCUCCAUGAAGUUGGAUUCGCUAGUAAUCGCGCAUCAGCCAUGGCGCGGUGAAUACGUUCUCCGGGCCUUGCACACACCGCCCGUCAAG
rnacentral:rRNA from 1 species